rnacentral:lncRNA from 10 species
CAAAAUACGAAAAAUCCAUCUUCUUCUAUAUUUGGGGCCAUUUUCUCUCCCUUACUAAGCAGUGAACUUCCCGAGGGAAGGAAGGGUGUAGGUUCUUUAGACUUCCCUACACAUUGUGUGGGCAGGGCCACAAGGUGUGUACGCAAAGAAAUUUCAACCCCUAAAUUCAGGAUGCCAGCACUUGAAUCCACAAGGCUCUUGGAGGGGGAGGGAAAGAGAGUUUUUCUACAUUUCUUUAAUUCUUGAUGCUUUGGGGGAGGACACAUUUAUUGCUCACCACGGAGAACCGAGAAAAGAAGAGCCCCCAGUCUCCGCCUUGAAGGAGCUGACAGUCCAUUGGAGAAACAAGUGGAACACGCUGGAAACAACCCAUGCAUGAUACAGGAGAGCUGGGGAAGAAGCGGCUCUGACUGCUCAUAGGUUGAAGGAACUCAUUUCCAGAUGAGACUUUGGACUUUGGAGUUAAUGCUGAAAUGAGUUAAGACUUUGGGGGACUAUUGAGAAGAGAGGACUAUAUUUUGCAAUGUGAAAAGGACAUGACAUUUGAGGGACCAAGGUGGAAUGACGUGCCCCUGCCAAAUCUCAUGUUGAAUUGUAAUCCUCAGUGUUGGAAUUGGGGUCUGGGGGGGGAUGUUUGAGUCAUGGGGGUGGAUCUCUCAUGGUUUGGUGCUGUCUUUGCAUUAUCAAGUGAGUUCUCACAAGAUCUGGUUGUUAGCCUGACCAACAUGGUGAAACCCUAUCUCAACUAAAAAUACAAAAAUUAGCGGGGCAUGGUGGCAUGCGCCUAUAAUCCCAGCUACUCAGGAGGCUGAGGCAGGAGAAUCGCUUGAACCAGGGAGGCAGAGGUUGCAGUGAGCCAAGAUCACGCCAUUGCACUCCAGCUUGGGUGACAGAGCGAAACUCCGUCUCAAAAAAAAAAAAAAAGUGUAUAGCACCUUCCCUUCACUCUCUCUCUUGCUCCCAGUCCUGCCAUAUGAGAUGCCUGUUCCCUCUUUGCCUUCUUCCAUGAUUGUAAGCUUCCUAAGGCCUCCCCAAAAGCAGAUGCCAGCACUAUGCUUCCUGUACAGCCUGAAGAACUGUGAACCAAUUAAACCUCUUUUCUUUAUAAAUU